rnacentral:rRNA from 1 species
GAUGAACGCUGGCGGCGUGCCUAAUACAUGCAAGUCGAGCGAACAGACGAGGAGCUUACUCCUCUGACGUUAGCGGCGGACGGGUGAGUAACACGUGGAUAACCUACCUAUAAGACUGGGAUAACUUCGGGAAACCGGAGCUAAUACCGGAUAACAUGUUGAACCGCAUGGUUCAACAGUGAAAGACGGUCUUGCUGUCACUUAUAGAUGGAUCCGCGUCGCAUUAGCUAGUUGGUAAGGUAACGGCUUACCAAGGCAACGAUGCGUAGCCGACCUGGGAGGGUGAUCGGCCACACUGGAACUGAGACACGGUCCAGACUCCUACGGGAGGCAGCAGUAGGGAAUCUUCCGCAAUGGGCGAAAGCCUGACGGAGCAACGCCGCGUGAGUGAAGAAGGUCUUCGGAUCGUAAAACUCUGUUAUUAGGGAAGAACAAAUGUGUAAGUAACUAUGCACGUCUUGACGGUACCUAAUCAGAAAGCCACGGCUAACUACGUG